rnacentral:rRNA from 1 species
AUACUGGAAGAAGAAACUCUGGUGCUUCAGGAGGGGUCUGCGUCCGAUUAGCUAGUUGGUGAGGUAAAGGCUCACCAAGGCGACGAUCGGUAGCUGGUCUGAGAGGACGAUCAGCCACACGGGAACUGAGACACGGUCCCGACUCCUACGGGGGGCAGCAGUGAGGAAUAUUGCCCAAUGGGGAAACCCUGAGGCAGCAACGCCGCGUGGAGGAAGAAGGUCUUUACGAUCGUAAACUUCUUUUGUGAGGGAAGAGGAAGGACGGUACCUCAUGAAUAAGUCACGGCUAACUACGUGCCAGCAGCCGCGGUAAUACGUAGGUGACGAGCGUUAUCCGGAAUUACUGGGCGUAAAGCGUACGCAGGCGGCAUGGUAAGUCUGACGUGAAAUCUCCUGGCUUAACUGGGAGAGGUCGUUGGAGACUGCUGUGCUUGAGACAAUGAGAGGGGUGCAGAAUUCCCGGUGUAGUGGUGGAAUGCGUAGAUAUCGGGAG